GACUGUCGUACCUACACAUACACUAUGGUACUUACGCUAAUACACAAUGCAAAACUUUGCCAUAUGAAUGAAAAACACAGAAAACUUAUAAUCACUUGAAGCAAAAAUAUGGCAUUAAUUGCUUUUCCUUUAUUUGUAAUAUAGUCAAAUUUCACCGUAAAUAUGACAUUAGUAGUGUAUUUUAAAAGAAUGAUCAAAUUUAAAAUUAUGAAACUUGUCUAAUUAUAAUCUAAGGAUGUGUUUGUUUGGCUUCACAAAACUACAUUGGACUGGACUGGAUUAAAAUGUAGUGUAAUCUGUGUUUGUUAUUUAUUGGGAUUAGCUUCAAAGGGAUU
rnacentral:lncRNA from 1 species